rnacentral:rRNA from 1 species
UUCGGAUUAAUGCUCCAUGAGACCACAAUACCGCAUGAUAUAGUGGUAAAAGCUCCGGCGGUUAAAGAUGGGCAUGCGUGCCAUUAGUUAGUUGGUGAGGUUACGGCUCACCAAGACAACGAUGGCUAGGGGGUCUGAGAGGAUGAUCCCCCACACUGGUACUGAGACACGGACCAGACUCCUACGGGAGGCAGCAGUGAGGAAUAUUGGUCAAUGGACGCAAGUCUGAACCAGCCAUGCCGCGUGCAGGAUGAAUGCCCUAUGGGUUGUAAACUGCUUUUCUACAAGAAGAAACUUCCUGAUGUAUCAGGAACUGACGGUAUUGUAGGAAUAAGCAUCGGCUAACUCCGUGCCAGCAGCCGCGGUAAUACGGAGGAUGCAAGCGUUAUCCGGAUUCAUUGGGUUUAAAGGGUGCGUAGGCGGGGUAGUAAGUCAGUGGUGAAAGCCUGCGGCUUAACCGUAGAAUUGCCAUUGAUACUGCUAUUCUUGAGUGCAGUUGAGGUAGGCGGAAUGUGUAAUGUAGCGGUGAAAUGCUUAGAUAUUACACAGAACACCGAUUGCGUAGGCAGCUUACUAAACUGUAACUGACGCUGAGGCACGAAAGCGUGGGGAGCGAACAGGAUUAGAUACCCUGGUAGUCCACGCUGUAAACUAUGAUCACUCGCUGUUGGCGAUACAUUGUCAGCGGCUGAGCGAAAGCAUUAAGUGAUCCACCUGGGGAGUACGGCCGCAAGGUUGAAACUCAAAGGAAUUGACGGGGGCCCGCACAAGCGGUGGAACAUGUGGUUUAAUUCGAUGAUACGCGAGGAACCUUACCUGGGCUUAAAUGCAGAACGACGUACCGGGAAACUGGUACUCCCUUCGGGGCGGACUGCAAGGUGCUGCAUGGUUGUCGUCAGCUCGUGCCGUGAGGUGUCGGGUUAAGUCCCAUAACGAGCGCAACCCUCAUUGUUAGUUGCCAGCGAGUAAUGUCGGGGACUCUAACGAAACUGCCGGUGUAAACCGUGAGGAAGGUGGGGAUGACGUCAAAUCAGCACGGCCCUUAUGUCCAGGGCUACACACGUGUUACAAUGGCCAGUACAAAGGGCAGCUACCACGCGAGUGGAUGCUAAUCUCUAAAGCUGGUCUCAGUUCGGAUUGAAGUCUGCAACUCGACUUCAUGAAGCUGGAAUCGCUAGUAA